GUGAAUCAUCGAAUCUUUGAACGCAAAUUGCACUCUCCGGUUUUCCGGGAGAGUAUGCCUGUUUGAGGGUCUGUUUAAAAAAUAAUCGAGGCGUCGCUCUUUUUUUUAAGGGUGAUCGCGUCGGAAUUGAGCCGUCUUUCAAAUGUUAAUUCAUGUCAAAGUGGCUUGAAAUUCAUCCAUCCGGUACGAUUAAAGCGUAUUUAAGAUCGAUCUUGAUUAAGAACGCGCGAUGACGUACCAUCUCAUGUAGUACGUUUGACCUGGGUCAUCAGGUUCAUUCGUAUACGAUACUCAAACUUUU
rnacentral:misc_RNA from 1 species